rnacentral:rRNA from 1 species
UACGGGGGGGGCAAGCGUUGUUCGGAAUUACUGGGCGUAAAGCGUACGUAGGCGGCUAUUCAAGUCAGAGGUGAAAGCCCGGGGCUCAACCCCGGAACUGCCUUUGAAACUAGGUAGCUAGAGUCUUGGAGAGGUUAGUGGAAUUCCGAGUGUAGAGGUGAAAUUCGUAGAUAUUCGGAAGAACACCAGUGGCGAAGGCGACUAACUGGACAAGUACUGACGCUGAGGUACGAAAGCGUGGGGAGCAAACAGG